GAUGAACGCUGGCGGCGUGCCUAAUACAUGCAAGUCGAGCGAAUGGAUUAAGCGCUUGCUCUUAUGAAGUUAGCGGCGGACGGGUGAGUGACACGUGGGUAACCUGCCCAUAAGACUGGGAUAACUCCGGGAAACCGGGGCUAAUACCGGAUAACAUUUUGAACCGCAUGGUUCGAAAUUGAAAGGCGGCUUCGGCUGUCACUCAUGGAUGGACCCGCGUCGCAUUAGCUAGUUGGUGAGGUAACGGCUCACCAAGGCAACGAUGCGUAGCCGACCUGAGAGGGUGAUCGGCCACACUGGGACUGAGACACGACCCAGACUCCUACGGGAGGCAGCAGUAGGGAAUCUUCCGCAAUGGACGAAAGUCUGACGGAGCAACGCCGCGUGAGUGAUGAAGGCUUUCGGGUCGUAAAACUCUGUUGUUAGGGAAGAACAAGUGCUAGUUGAAUAAGCUGGCACCUUGACGGUACCUAACCAGAAAGCCACGGCUAACUACGUGCCAGCCGCCGCGGUAA
rnacentral:rRNA from 1 species